rnacentral:misc_RNA from 1 species
AACGCACCUUGCGCCUUUUGGUAUUCCGAAAGGCAUGCCUGUUUGAGUGUCAUGAAAACCUCAAUCCCCUCGGGUUUUGUUACCCGUCGGGACUUGGAUCUGGGCGUCUGCCGGUCAAACGGCUCGCCUCAAAAGCGUUAGUGGGAUGGUCCCUCUGGCUUGACGUAAUAAGUUUCGUCUCUGCCCCCGGGACCCAUGUCCGCUCACAACCCAUCAUAACACCUUUUACUCUGACCUCAAAUCAGGUAGGGCUACCCGCUGAACUUAA